GACGAACGCUGGCGGCGUGCUUAACACAUGCAAGUCGAACGGAAAGGCCCUGCUUUUGUGGGGUGCUCGAGUGGCGAACGGGUGAGUAACACGUGAGUAACCUGCCCUUGACUUUGGGAUAACUUCAGGAAACUGGGGCUAAUACCGGAGAGGAGCUCCUGCUGCAUGGGGGGGGUUGGAAAGUUUCGGCGGUUGGGGAUGGACUCGCGGCUUAUCAGCUUGUUGGUGGGGUAGUGGCUUACCAAGGCUUUGACGGGUAGCCGGCCUGAGAGGGUGACCGGCCACAUUGGGACUGAGGUACGGCCCAGACUGCUACGGGAGGCAGCAGUGGGGAAUAUUGCACAAUGGGCGGACGCCUGAUGCAGCAACGCCGCGUGCGGGACGACGGCCUUCGGGUUGUAAACCGCUUUCGCCUGUGACGAAGCGUGAGUGACGGUAAUGGGUAAAGAAGCACCGGCUAACUACGUG
rnacentral:rRNA from 1 species